AAAAGCGUUAAAACGCAGAUGCAGCAGGUUUAAGUGCUGUGUGUUUUUCCAUUGAGCCGUUGGGUUCAAGGGGGUUAAAAUACAGAUCAAACGGCUAGCAAUUGUGCCAUAAGCCGCUGGGUUCACAAAAGCUAACGGCUAGCAAUUUUGAGGGAUUCUCAGGAGCUCUUUGUUGUUCAUUGAAAAUCCAAAGGGAGAUUCUUGAGAGGAGAAGUAGAAACAGAGAGAGAGAGAAAAAAAAAAAAAAAAUACACGCACACAACCCACAAUCUAUAACAGUUCCAUCCAAAACCCCAAAUCUCCAAAACCCACACACAGAACAGAGACACCAAACCUCAACCACCGAAAGCCCCAAAAUCAGAACCCAAAACACAAAGCCAAACUUCAAACAUCGUACCUACACAAACCCACAAAGAAAAACCCAUAUCUCACCCAGAUGAAGCUCCGCUGCUUCACUCCAAAGCCAGCACAGACACCAAGGAGGACCACCACCACCACCACUAGGUGAAAACCGCUAGGUGCUCCAUCUCAAGCUCGGCUCUUCCAACUUGAGAAAGGAUGAUGUCAUGGUUAUUUUCUAUACUUUAUAUCUACGCUUGUUGCUACCUGUGAAGGGUGGCUUUGCUGGACUAAUGUGUGUGGGUUUUAACUCUAGGACUUUACCAACAAUUGAAUGAGGGAGGCACAUCUGGCUUAUAUUAGAUGUUGGUUGUGGUAUUGCUAGCUUUGGUGUCUAUUUACUGGACAAAAAUGUCCUUACCAUGUCAUUUGCUCCAAGGAUAAGCAUGAAGCUGAGAUACAGUUUGAUCUUGAAGGGGGGAGUGCUUGCUACUCUGUCUGUCAUUGGAACACGAAGGCUGACCUUUCUGGACAAAGCAUAUGAUUUGAUUCGUUGUGCACAUUGCGAGGUUCACUGGGAUGCAAAUUGUACUUUAUGCGACUGCUUUUCACUAUUAAGUCUGGAGUACUAAAUUUUUUCAUCCCCAUUGAUGUACCAAAUACUCUAUCCAUUAUACCUGACAGACGGUUGAUUGGAAUCUAUCAUGACUGGUGCAAGUCUUUUAAUUCCUAUCCUCGACCUUAUGAUCUACUGCAUUCCAGCUUUUUCUUUAGAAAUCUCACACACCAGCGAACUGGCUUGCUGCCCUUUUAACCAAUGGUGAAGAAUCAGCGCCAAAGAGGGGCAGAGAGGUGCCUCUGAAGAGAUCUAAGAUGCAAAGCUCAAAGUCACAAAGAAGUCUAGAGCCGAGUCAGUGAUGCACGCACCUCGCAAGAAGACAUGUCCAAGCGCUACGACCAUUACAAUAAUGUUCCAUAGAAAGAGAGAUGAAGGAGGGGACUAAUGGUUAGAGUGAAUUAAUAU